GCACCCCGCGCACCUGCCCAUCGACUCCGUGCCCAGCCAAUACGUAAACUGGGACAGCCUAAGGCCGGAAAAUGAAUUAUACUACUUCCCGUCGCCGCCGUACCAGUUCUUCGCG